rnacentral:rRNA from 1 species
UACAGAGACCUCAAGCGUUAUCCGGAUUUAUUGGGCGUAAAGCGCGUGUAGGCGGCUUUGUUAGUCAGAUGUCAAAUCUUCGAGCUCAACUCGAAAACUGCAUUUGAAACGGCAAAGCUAGAGGGAGCAAGAGACCAAUAGAACGUAUGGUGUAGCAGUAAAAUGCGUUGAUAUCAUAUGGAAUACCAAAGGCGAAGGCAUUUGGUUGGGGCUCACCUGACGCUGAGACGCGAAAGCGUGGGUAG